rnacentral:rRNA from 1 species
GACGAACGCUGGCGGCGUGCCUAAUACAUGCAAGUAGAACGCUGAAGAGAGGAGCUUGCUCUUCUUGGAUGAGUUGCGAACGGGUGAGUAACGCGUAGGUAACCUGCCUUGUAGCGGGGGAUAACUAUUGGAAACGAUAGCUAAUACCGCAUAACAAUGGAUGACACAUGUCAUUUAUUUGAAAGGGGCAAUUGCUCCACUACAAGAUGGACCUGCGUUGUAUUAGCUAGUAGGUGAGGUAACGGCUCACCUAGGCGACGAUACAUAGCCGACCUGAGAGGGUGAUCGGCCACACUGGGACUGAGACACGGCCCAGACUCCUACGGGAGGCAGCAGUAGGGAAUCUUCGGCAAUGGGGGCAACCCUGACCGAGCAACGCCGCGUGAGUGAAGAAGGUUUUCGGAUCGUAAAGCUCUGUUGUAAGUCAAGAACGAGUGUGAGAGUGGAAAGUUCACACUGUGACGGUAGCUUACCAGAAAGGGACGGCUAACUACGUGCCAGCAGCCGCGGUAAUACGUAGGUCCCGAGCGUUGUCCGGAUUUAUUGGGCGUAAAGCGAGCGCAGGCGGUUUGAUAAGUCUGAAGUUAAAGGCUGUGGCUCAACCAUAGUUCGCUUUGGAAACUGUCAAACUUGAGUGCAGAAGGGGAGAGUGGAAUUCCAUGUGUAGCGGUGAAAUGCGUAGAUAUAUGGAGGAACACCGGGUGGCGAAAGCGGCUCUCUGGUCUGUAACUGACGCUGAGGCUCGGAAAGCGUGGGGAGCGAACAGG